GCCCUCCUUGCCUUGCAGGCUGGCUUGUUCGUGGAGCAUUACCUGGACGCCAUACCCUCGCCGACCGGGAGCCAUGUGACCUGGAGGCUUUCAGCCUCUGGACCCGCUCUGGCAUCGUUUCUUCACUGCGGUCAAGAUGCCUGUACGACGAUCCAAGUUGAAUUCAGAUGGUGCAUCCACACCCAGAAGGUAUUGGAUAUUUGAAAACAUCAAAAUAUGACUAAUACAAAAUUGGAGCCACAGAACUGGUGUCAGUACUACAACUGCACUUGAACCUAUGAUAUAGAAGCAUUCAUAACUGAUUUGCAGGAGUAGUUUGGAAAAGUUUGGAAAUGCUGGCUAAAGAAGUCUGAUUAUGCUGUAAGCAGAGCUUGAUGGGAGAUUCCUGUCAGAAUCCAGGAGACCAGAAUGCUGACAGGAAUGCUGGUCUCCCAGCUGAAUUUUUCCUGAGUCUCAAAAUAGACUCUGGACCUGGCCUGGACAUAUCAGCAAUGACGAAAAUGUUAAAAAUUUAAAAACGAAUCUUAACCAGUCUAAAUAUUUCAUCUGGCAAAACAGCAACCUCCACUUCGUAAAAACAACUGGAAUCUGUCA